rnacentral:rRNA from 1 species
CGUGCGAGAAAGAUCUUCGGAUAUGAGUAGAGCGGCGGACGGGUGAGUAACGCGUAGGAAUCUACCUGGUAGAAGGGGAUAGCCCGGGGAAACCCGGAUUAAUACCGUAUACCUCCUUCGGGAGAAAGAAGGCCUCUCUUUGAAGCUUUCGCUAUUAGAUGAGCCUGCGUAAGAUUAGCUUGUUGGUGAGGUAAAGGCUCACCAAGGCAACGAUCUUUAGCUGGUCUGAGAGGACGAUCAGCCACAUUGGGACUGAGACACGGCCCAGACUCCUACGGGAGGCAGCAGUGGGGAAUAUUGGACAAUGGGCGCAAGCCUGAUCCAGCCAUACCGCGUGUGUGAAGAAGGCCUUCGGGUUGUAAAGCACCUUAAGCAGGGAGAAAAAGUUAUAAGUUAAUACCUUAUGACCUUGAUGUUACCUGCGGAAUAAGCACCGGCUAAUUCCGUGCCAGCAGCCGCGGUAAUACGGAAGGUGCAAGCGUUAAUCGGAAUUACUGGGCGUAAAGCGCGCGUAGGUGGUUUGUUAAGUUGGAUGUGAGAGCCCUGGGCUCAACC